ensembl:lncRNA
AUGAGCCUCUGCUCACCUGAACAAUGCAAGAAAAUGUCACAAUGUUUCUUUCGUAUUUAUUUUUUACAUUCUUGCUUUUUUCAUUUUUCACUUCUUUUUCUUUCUUUCUUUCUUUCUUUCUGCUUUCACUCUUUAUCUUUCACUUUUUCUUUUGUGAUGCUCUGUUUUGUUCUUUAUUUCAUUUUCUUUUGUUGUUCUUUUACUCUCACUUUCUUUUGUGCUGUCUUUUUGUGCUCUCUUUAUUUCACUUUCUUUUUUCUUUCUUUCUUUAUGCUUUCACUAUUUAUCUUUCACAUUUUCUUUUGUGAUAUCUGUUCUUUUUUGUUCAUUUUCUUUUGCUUUUUUGUUCUUUUACUCUUUCACUUUCUUUUGUGCUGUCUUUUGUGCUCUCUUUAUUUCACUUUCUUUUUUCUUUCUUUCUUUUUGCUUUCACUUUUUAUCUUUCACAUUUUCUUUGUGAUAUCUGUUCUUUUUUGUUCCUUUCAUUUUCUUUUGCUUUUUUGUUUUUUUACUCUUUCAUUUUCUUUUAUGCUGUCUUUUUGUGCUCUCUUUAUUUCGCUUUCUUUUUUCUUUUGCACUUUCUUUCUUUCUUUCUUUAUGCUUUCACUAUUUAUCUUUCACAUUUUCUUUUUUUAUAUCUGUUCUUUUUUGUUCCUUUCAUUUUCUUUUUCUUUUUUGUUCUUUUUCUCUUUCAUUUUCUUUUGUGCUGUCUUUUUGUGCUCUCUUUAUUUCACUUUCUUUUUUCUUUCUUUCUUUAUGCUUUCACUAUUUAUCUUUCACCUUUUUGUGAUAUCUAUGUUCAUUUCAUUUUCUUUUGCUUUUUUGUUCUUUUACUCUUACUUUCUUUUGUGCUGUCUUUUUGUGCUCUUUAUUUCACUUUCUUUCGUUCGCUUUUUCUUUUUCUUUCACCCUUUCUCUUGUUCUGUCUUUCACUCUUUCUUUCAAUCUUUCAUGCUAUCUUUUGCUCUUUCUUUUACUCUUUCGUUCUUUUUUCUGGUGGAUGAUCAUUUCUUUCAUUCUUUCACUCUUUCUUUUGUUUUUUCACUCUUUCACACUUUAUUACACUCUUUCUAUUGUGCUUACUUUCUUUCAGAUCUAUGA